rnacentral:rRNA from 1 species
CAGUAGCCGCGGUAAUACGGAGGGUGCAAGCGUUAUCCGGAUUUAUUGGGUUUAAAGGGUCCGUAGGCGGACUUAUAAGUCAGUGGUGAAAGCCUGUCGCUUAACGAUAGAACUGCCAUUGAUACUGUAAGUCUUGAGUAUAUUUGAGGUAGCUGGAAUAAGUAGUGUAGCGGUGAAAUGCAUAGAUAUUACUUAGAACACCAAUUGCGAAGGCAGGUUACCAAGAUAUAACUGACGCUGAGGGACGAAAGCGUGGGUAGCGAACAGGAUUAGAUACCCCCGUAGUCCCUGUCUCUUAUAA